AACGAACGCUGGCGGCAGGCCUAACACAUGCAAGUCGAACGCCUCAGCAACGGGGAGUGGCAGACGGGUGAGUAACGCGUGGGAACCUUCCCAUUGGUACGGAACAACCCAUCGAAAGGUGGGCGUAAUGCCGCAUAAGCCCGCAAGGGGAAAGAUUUAUCGCCAAUGGAUGGGCCCGCGUAGGAUUAGCUAGUUGGUGAGGUAAUGGCUCACCAAGGCGACGAUCCUUAGCUGGUCGAGAGGAUGACCAGCCACACUGGGACUGAGACACGGCCCAGACUCCUACGGGAGGCAGCAGUGGGGAAUAUUGCGCAAUGGGGGAAACCCUGACGCAGCGACGCCGCGUGGGUGAUGAAGGCCUUCGGUCGU
rnacentral:rRNA from 1 species